AUCCACCCCACCUUGCAGUGUGGAUGCAGGAUGAAGCCCAGCUCUACCUCUGGUCUGAGUUCAGCAUGCACCCACAUUUGAGCGAUGUAUCCCAAAUCGUCACCUGUACAAGAGCAUCUCCGAGAGACUGGCAGAGGAGGGGAUUACGUGGAUGAUAAUUCAGUGAAGGAAGAGCGUUAAAAACCUGAAGGAGGGAGGAAUUAGCAGAGCAGGAAGAGACCCUGGCAGUAGAGGAACCAGCAAAGCUAGAACAGAUCCUGAAGCUACAGCAGACCAGGCAGGCACGGAGGCUGCAAGAUGUCCUCAGCCUGGAAUCCAAGAAUCCAAGGGGCCAGGGAACAGACCGGAGAGGAAGCAAUAUCAGAGCCACAGCCAGGCAUGGUUCUAUCACUUGACAAGCUGCUGAGUCCAUGCAGGCAGCGUGAUUACUUUGCAAGGUUACAGCUCUCACUGAAAGACAAAUGAAAAGGCUUGGAAGAGAACCAGUGAUUCCAAACCUCCAAGGCUGCAAAACCAACUCAUCCAGCAAACCAAGGGACAUGUGGCUGUUAUUCCCAAGAACUGGUAGACAAAGACCCAAUGCUUUAUAUCAUCAGAAACCUUGUAAUCCCAAUAUAGUGAUGUCCUUAGUUGAGACAAACACAUGAACAUCUACUGCUUGGACUAAAGGACCAGAAACUUAGAGGCAGCAGCAGACCCAUUAAGCUCUUACAGAUCCUGCUACCCAAAGAGGCCAGUGAUCAACACUGGGUUAAUGUGACUUACA